AGUGAACGCUGGCGGUAGGCCUAACACAUGCAAGUCGAACGGCAGCACAGUAAGAGCUGCUCUUACGGGUGGCGAGUGGCGGACGGGUGAGGAAUACAUCGGAAUCUACUUUUUCGUGGGGGAUAACGUAGGGAAACUUACGCUAAUACCGCAUACGACCUACGGGUGAAAGCAGGGGAUCUUCGGACCUUGCGCGAUUGAAUGAGCCGAUGUCGGAUUAGCCAGUUGGCGGGGUAAAGGCCCACCAAGGCGACGAUCCGUAGCUGGUCUGAGAGGAUGAUCAGCCACACUGGAACUGAGACACGGUCCAGACUCCUACGGGAGGCAGCAGUGGGGAAUAUUGGACAAUGGGCGCAAGCCUGAUCCAGCCAUACCGCGUGGGUGAAGAAGGCCUUCGGGUUGUAAAGCCCUUUUGUUGGGAAAGAAAAGCAGCAGGUUAAUACCCCGCUGUUCUGACGGUACCCAAAGAAUAAGCACCGGCUAACUUCGUG
rnacentral:rRNA from 1 species